rnacentral:lncRNA from 1 species
UUCAAGUGGCUCAUGGACCAGUGAGAGAGACUGACACACAACAGGUAACAGUGUACAGCCUCACUGACGCUCCGAUGAGGUGCCAUGGCCUCACCCAGGACACCUAACCCUGACUGGGUAGGGUGUAGGGGCGGCAGUGGGGGUCAGACCUGCUUUCUCAAGGAAGUGAUGCCCAUCUGGAUAUUUAAGGGAAGAAAACAGAAACGCAUGUGAACUGCUUUGUGAUCGAUUUAUUUUAAAACCAUGGGAAGAAAUUUUUAA